ensembl:snRNA U6 U6 spliceosomal RNA
GUGCUGGCUUCGGCAGCACAUAUACUAAAAUUGGAACAUACAGAGAAGAUUAGCAUGACCCCUGUGCAGGGAUGACAUGCAAAUUCAUGAAGUGCUCCAUACUAAA